rnacentral:sRNA from 1 species
CAGAAGAAUAACAUAUUUGAUGCCUCACCACUUCAUGCUAGCCUCUUGAAUUCUUAAUAGUGUCCCUUGCAACACCUCUCUCUCUGACACGAAAUGGCGGGCUUUGAUGCACUAGUGCAAUCCAUCAACGGUUGCUAGUAUUUCCAUAAGGGAGGUGGAGGGGGUAAGGGAAAGACUGAACGUCAUUUAUUCGUAUAUCCAAUUAUGAUUUAUCUUUGCCAUUUAUCUAACUCCGCUCCACCUCCAAGAAUUCUCACAACCUACACCCCCUUCACGUGUCGACCUCCGGGCACGAAACUGCAGCCCUCACCUUUCUUGGAGAUAGCAAGUCCUGAAAGUUGAAGUUUGUUUUCGUCUUUCAUUUUUCACGGAUGAUUCUUCGUGUUCAUUCUUUCAGCGAGGUCUUGAAAAAUGGUAUACUUGUUGUGCAUUUGAAGGACAAAAAGAGCAGGAGAAAAAACUUUCAUCUUCCACGAUCGACCUGUAUUUGUACUGUACAGCUGGUGGCCAUAAAAGUAGCGACACUUGACGCAAGCAAUAUAA